rnacentral:lncRNA from 1 species
CAUUACAGAUGAUAGCUUAAAUUCCACCACAAUGUCCAAUAAACAGGAAGAUGGGUCUACAAAACUCUUUUGGGGUCUAUGUUGAUUUGUAGGGCCCAUUAACCUGCAAACACUUUUAUCCAAUCCUAAGUAUAAAGGUCUACUAUGGUAAAUGUAUAUUUCGUUAAAAAAAAGUAACAAGCACCACCAAAAAUAAUGUAACUUCGCUCCCGUUAGUCCAACCAAUGGAUAUAGUUGACUGAAACACUCUUUGGAGUUGU